AUACUUACCUGGCAGGGGAGACACCAUGAUCAUGAAGGUGGUUUUCCCAGGGCGAGGCUUAUCCAUUGCACUCCGGAUGUGCUGACCCCUGCGAUUUCCCCAAAUGUGGGAAACUCGACUGCAUAAUUUGUGGUAGUGGGGGACUGCGUUCGCGCUCUCCCCUG
rnacentral:snRNA from 1 species